UUCCCUGCCUUCGCGCGGCGCGCAGCGUUUUGCUCCUGAUGGCUGGGGCUUGCGGGCUGGUUGUGGCGUGGGAUUUAGGGUGUCCGCAGCAGCCGUUGGCCUGCGCUCCCUUCUCGGCAGGAAGGUGGGAAGAUGGCGCGGACUCCGGCCCGCUGGACCCCGCGUGAAGCGGGUCGGUGUGGGAGCCGAGCGCCGUUUACCAUGUAGUCUUCGCCGUGCGCCCAGGCACAGAACUGGGCGGGAGUGAAGCGGACAUGCUCACAAGCUGGGUGUCUGAAGCUGACGGAUACUUCCUGAACGACACGCGGGAGCACAAAGUAGCUUAAGGGUGGCCUUGAUGAUUUGGAAAUUUGAUCUUCAGAAACAUGAGUGAUUUAAAUUUCCUAGAAAGCGUGGCAAAACUCAACAUAGAUGAAUGCACAUUUGUAACAAGGCUAUGAAUAAAUGCUUGGACAUGCUGUUCUGAAA